ACCUGCAAAGCAUUUUGCUUCUUCAUGAAUGAUAUUAUGAAUACUAAAAUAGGUUCAUCGCUGUUUCUAAAUUCGUGCAGAUCGCAAUCAGAUACGAAUAUUUCUUUAAUAUCAUUGAGGUCGGCAAUGUAAUUAUGCAGUAUCUUUAUUUCCUCUUUGUCUGUGCCAUAACCAAUGAUAGAACAUUUUAUCCAAGCCUACAACAUGUAUUUUACUUAUUGACUGCUUCACAAUUUAUCUAUCAUAUAAAUACAUAUAUAAUAAUAAAUGCAUUAUAUACAAACUUGGAUAAGAAUAAUAUCGAAAUUUGGAACUUCUUUUUUUAAGUUUUGUAUAGCUUCUCUAUUCUCAAGAAUAGAUACUAAAUAAUAUUGGGUAAUUCUGAAAAUAUAAUGUUAUCAACACACAUAUAAUAUAUUUAGAUAUUCAUUUUUAAAUAAAUUAUUUUUACCUUAUAUCUUUCAAAAAUAUCGAUGCUGCAAAAUGUUGAAAUAAAGAUACAGCUGAGUGCUUAUAUUUUUUAGCAGUAGCUGGCUCUCUACCUGCUUCUAAUGUAAAUAUGACAGCUAGUUUGGAAAUAAUUUUAUAAUUGUCACCAAUAAGGAUGGGAUCAAAAACAAGUUGGCGAAUUCUACUAGCAACAAAACACCAUAGUGCUUCUAACAUUUUCCUGACACCAUCUAUAAGCAAGCUUUAACAUACCAACCCGAAUUGUUACCAGAAAUUUGCAAGAUGAUACAUUUGUCAAAAACAUUGGCUAGCAUUUCCAGCAAAAACCCGAUUCUAUUCUUUGGACAUUCCAAGAGGUAACGAUCAAUCCAACCACCGAUGAAAUGAUGCUCUCCUAAAUCCAUCUUGUCAUUGUUGGAUAAAAUCGUAUUUAAAACUUCAACAAAACUAGUCAUCAUAGAACGAGAUGUUUCAUCUUUACGACAACUUAUUAAAUUGAUCUAUUGAACAAAAAUAUUUCUUUUACUAAAUUUAUAUAAUCCACAUGUGUAUAAAUAUAUUGUAAAAACAAAAGCAUACUGUUUCUGUAAAGUGUUCGGCUAUAGAGACGAAAGAUAAUCUUUUUUCGUUAAACAAUAGGAGGCACAUUAACUUUCCUUUCCAGAUUAAAUUGUACUUUUUAUUAUAUUCAAUGUUUAAUUCUUGUGUAGAUGGUAAAAAAUCUAACAUUGUUAUACACUGAAAAAAACAAUUCACAUUUAUAUAAAUAUUGUUAAUGUAUACCUACUUAAUAGCAAUUGCAUAUAUUUUAACUUACAACAUUUGUAACAUCUGCAGUAAUUGCUAAAGUAAUAAAUAAGGAAAUAAAGUUGUAGAGGCCAUUCUCGGAGAACUCUGCAACUUUGUUCUUUGAAAAUUUUGUA